rnacentral:rRNA from 1 species
GACGAACGCUGGCGGCGUGCUUAACACAUGCAAGUCGAACGGAAAGGCCCUGCUUUUGUGGGGUGCUCGAGUGGCGAACGGGUGAGUAACACGUGAGUAACCUGCCCUUGACUUUGGGAUAACUUCAGGAAACUGGGGCUAAUACCGGCUAGGAGCUCCUUCUGCAUGGUGUGGGUUGGAAAGUUGCGGCGGUUGGGGAUUGACUAGCGGCUUAGGAGCUUGUUGGUGGGGUUGUGGCUUACCAAGGCUUGGACGGGUAGCCGGACUGGGAGGGUGACCGGCCACAGUGGGACAGAGAAGCCGGCAGGACGCAUACGGGCGGAAGCAGUGGGGGAUAGUCCAAAAUGGGCGGAAGCCGGAUGCAGCAACGCCGCGUGGGGGAGGACGGCCUUCGGGGUGGAAACCGCUUUCGCCGGAGAGGAAGCGGGAGUGACGGUAAUGGAUAAGGAAGCACCGGCUAACUACGUG